rnacentral:sRNA from 1 species
UGAUUUCAUGGAUCCAAUUGAUAGCAUCAAAUCUUGAGCCUCUUCCAUUCAGAACAUUGACUAGGAGCUUGCAGUCGCCUUCAAGUAUUACUUUUCUAAAGCCUCUUAUCCAUAAUU